CUUCUCUCAGGAUUGCACCUGGAGAGUUUCCAGUACUCUACCAGUCCAGGCUAUGGAAGGGAGAGUCAAACAGAGGCUUACCCAUUUUAUUCCUAGUUUGGGCAGUGGCUAGUGAGUGGAAGGCAAUCUGCUACAAGU
rnacentral:snoRNA from 1 species